rnacentral:rRNA from 1 species
AUCGAACGCUAGCGGCAUGCCUAACACAUGCAAGUCGAACGGCAGCACGGGGAGCUUGCUCUCUGGUGGCGAGUGGCGAACGGGUGAGUAACGCGUAGGAAUCUGCCUAGUAGUGGGGGACAACUCGAGGAAACUCGAGCUAAUACCGCAUAAUCUCUACGGAGCAAAGUGGGGGACCUUCGGGCCUCACGCUAUUAGAUGAGCCUGCGUCAGAUUAGAUUGUUGGUGGGGUAAUGGCCUACCAAGUCGACGAUCUGUAGCUGGUCUGAGAGGAUGACCAGCAACACUGGGACUGAGACACGGCCCAGACUCCUACGGGAGGCAGCAGUGGGGAAUAUUGGACAAUGGGCGAAAGCCUGAUCCAGCAAUGCCGCGUGUGUGAAGAAGGCCUUAGGGUUGUAAAGCACUUUCGAUAGGAAAGAAAAAGCCAAAGGUAAUAUCUUUGGAAAUUGACGCUACCUAUAGAAGAAGCACUGGCUAACUCUGUGCCAGCCGCCGCAGUAA